rnacentral:misc_RNA from 1 species
GGAAGGAUCAUUAACAAUUAUCCAACACCCGUGUUUGAUCUAAGGAUGGAUAGGCUGAACGCGCUACAAUCCAUGUAUGUGUGUGCGUACGUGUUCAGAGUCUAUUUUUAGAUCGCUUUAAAACACAUAACAUUGACAUUAAACUUUAGACAACCAUGGGAUUGAAAGCAUAUAGAUGCAUGCAUGCAUGCGUGUGUUCUAUUAUUGCUAUGUUAUUAUAGUGAUGAUGGAUACAUACGAUACGUACGUGUUGAUAUAUGUGAAAAACCUCGAGUAGAUCGAAACAACUUUUAACAAUGGAUCUCUCGGCUCUUGCAUCGAUGAAGAACGCAGCGAACUGCGAAACGUGAUGUGAACUGCACUCUUCGUGAAUCAUCCAAUCUUUGAACGCAUUUUGCACCUCGUGGCUUUUGUCACAAGGUAUACUUGUUUGAGUAUCUGAAACCAUCUCACUUUCUCUUCGGGGCAAAGUGGACUUGAGAGUAAAUCAUCCAUCAGGGGGGGAACCCCUUGAUCAUUGUCUCUUUAAAUGUGAUGGUCGUUUACAGGAAGGGGUCUCCGUUUGGAACCUGACCGGACUAUUGGGAUAACAUCCUAACAAUCGUCUGUUGUCAGUUCCUUCUCUCUCUAUAUUCUAUGUUUAUCAUAUCAUAUGGAGAGAGAGACGUUGACCAAGCCUUGGCCAUACUGGAUGAGCAUUGUCGUCAUUAUUUAUUUAUUUAUUUGAUGAUGAUGAUGUGACUCCUCGAGGACAUAUGUUUUAAACUAACGACACACACACAUGUGGGGUUGUUUUUUACUGUUGUCAUCAAGAAGAAAAUGGAUCUCAAAUCAAGUAAGGAUACCCGCUGAACUUAAGCAUAUCAGUAAGCGGAGGAAAAGAAACUAACAAGGAUUCCCUGAGUAACGGCGAAUGAAACGGGAAGAGCUCAAAUUUAAAAUCUGGCAUCUUUUGGGUGCUCGAAUUGUAAUUGAGAGGGUUUUCUUUGAGUGAAGGUUAUAGCCAAAGUUCUCUGGAAAGGGAUAACAAAGAGGGUGACAUUCCCGUCUAGGUUAUGAUUGGAUCUCGUAUAUAAGAAAGCUCUAAGAGUCGGAUUGUUUGGGAAUGCAGUCCAAAAUGGGUGGUACAUUUCAUCUAAAGCUAAAUAUAGGCAAGAGACCGAUAGUGAACAAGUACCGUGAGGGAAAGAUGAAAAGAACUUUGAAAGAGAGUUAAAUAGUACGUGAAAUUGUUAAAAGGGAAACGAUUGAGACCAGUGAUGUGUCGGUUCUUGAGCGUAGCUUUUGGGCUACGUGUUUGAGCUUGAUACGAGUCGACGCUCCUUUUAGAUCUUGGAUAAGACUGGAAGAAAGGUGGCUCCAUCUUUGGAUGGCUGCUUUAUAGUCUUCUAGGGAUACAAGAUGUUUGUUUGAGAGAGGAGACAGGUAGGGUCGCAAGACUCACGUCGACGAAAUGGUCUUAAACGACCCGUCUUGAAACACGGACCAAGGAGUCUAACAACUAUGCGAGUAUUUGAGUGGCAAACUCGAGUGCGCAAAGAAACUGAACGCGUGGGACUUGUGUGUCGUCACACUUGUGUGACGGUGGUUAAUAAGGCACCAUGGGCCGGUCCUUGUCUUUUGACUUGGAUUGCACUAGAGCAUAUCUGUUGGGACCCGAAAGAUGGUGAACUAUGCCUGAAUAGGGUGAAGCCAGGGGAAACUCUGGUGGAGGCUCGUAGACAUUCUGACGUGCAAAUCGAUGUUCAAAUUUGGGUAUAGGGGCGAAAGACUAAUCGAACCAUCUAGUAGCUGGUUCCCUC